GCCUUCAUGGUGUAGUGGUCAACAGACUGAGCCGGUAUUUCAGAGGUCCGUGGUUCGAUUCCCGGCGAAGGCC
rnacentral:tRNA from 1 species